CUUGAUCGAGCCCAACAGCAGUGGCCGCUCCCGGUUCCGGCCGUAGGUGGCCAGCAGGGCCUGGGCCUC
rnacentral:antisense_RNA from 1 species